AACGAACGCUGGCGGCAUGCCUAACACAUGCAAGUCGAACGAGACCUUCGGGUCUAGUGGCGCACGGGUGCGUAACGCGUGGGAACCUGCCCUUAGGUUCGGAAUAACUCCCCGACAGGGGUGCUAAUACCGGAUAAUGUCUUCGGACCAAAGAUUUAUCGCCUUUGGAUGGGCCCGCGUUGGAUUAGCUAGUUGGUAGGGUAAAAGCCUACCAAGGCGACGAUCCAUAGCUGGUCUGAGAGGAUGAUCUGCCACACUGGGACUGAGACACGGCCCAGACUCCUACGGGAGGCAGCAGUGGGGAAUAUUGGACAAUGGGCGAAAGCAUGAUCCAGCAAUGCCGCGUGAGUGAUGAAGGCCUUAGGGUUGUAAAGCUCUUUUACACGGGAUGAUAAUGACAGUACCGGGAGAAUAAGCUCCGGCUAACUCCGUG
rnacentral:rRNA from 1 species